rnacentral:rRNA from 1 species
CCUACGGGAGGCAGCAGGCGCGAAUCUUCUGCAAUACGCGAGAGCGUGACAGAGCGAGUCAGAGUGCUUCUCAUAGAGAAGCUUUUGCUUAAUUUAAAAUGUUAGGCGAAUAAGGACUGGGCAAGACUAGUGCCAGCCGCCGCGGUAAUACUAGCUGUUCAAGUCGCAACCAUCAUUAUUGGGUCUAAAACAUCCGUAGCUUGCUUAGUGAGUUCUUUGUGAAAUCCUAUCUCUUAAGGAUAGGGCGAGCAGAGAAUACUACUAGGCUAGAGACUGGAAGAUGUAAGAAGUACGUUCGAAGUAGUCGUAAAAUACGUUGAUCUUGGACGGACUCAUAAUAGCGAAGGCAUCUUACAAGGACAGUUCUGACAGUGAGGGAUGAAGGCCAGGGUCGCGAACGGGAUUAGAUACCCCAGUAGUCC